GCGGCACGUGACGUCACGCGCGGCGCGGCCAGGGACGCCGGGAGCGAAUUCUGUUUAGCAGCCCUCGUUAACUAAAGUCAUGGCAGCUGCUAGUAGUGAGGUGCACCAUCCUGUGGAUCCCAGAACCUCAAAGCUGCAGUUUGCUCCCUUCAGUAGUGCCUUGGAUGCAGGAUUCUGGCACGAACUAACCCAGAAGAAACUCAAUGAGUACCGAUUGGAUGAGACCCCAAAAGUCAUCAAAGGCUACUACUACAACGGUGAUCCUUUGGGUUUGCCAGCUCGCUUGACACUGGAGUUCAGCGCCUUUGAUACGAACGCUUCAAUACCAGCACGUUGCUGUCCUGCUUUUGGAACAUUGUAUAAUACCAACACUUUGGAGACUUUCAAAUCCUGUGAUAAGAAAUCCCUUUUGGAAAAAGAAGCAAAUGAGAUAUGGGAAUCGAUAAAAUCUGGAGCGGCUCUUGAAAACCCUCUGCUCUUGAACAGGUUCCUGCUGCUGACAUUCGCAGAUUUAAAAAAGUAUCAUUUCUAUUACUGGUUUUGCUACCCUGCUCUCUGCUUCCCCGAUGGAAUACAUUUAAUUCAGAAACCAGUGUGCCUUGGCGACAGAUUCUCAUUAAAUCAGAUUCGAGCUCUCCAGAAAGCCUAUGAUGAACUUUGCCAGAAAGAGGGGGUUACAGCCUUGCCUUACUUUUUAAUUAAGUAUCAUGACAAUUCUGUUGUGAUAUCUCUGCUGAAAAAGUGGGAUAGUUUCUUCCAAGAUCAAGGGGAAAAGGUAACGGUUGGAGUUUAUGAUCCAUGUAAUUUAUCCCACUAUCCGGGAUGGCCACUGAGAAAUUUCCUGAUCCUGGCAGCCCACAAAUGCAGGGGCAACGUUCUCCAGUCAGUUGAAGUGCUCUGCUUCAGAGACAGGACCAUGCAAGGGGUGAGAGACGUAACACACAGCAUUAUCUUUGAAAUAAAACUUCCUGAGGGAGCCCUUGGUCCAGAUUGUCCAAAAGCUGUUGGAUGGGAGAAAAACCAAAAGGGCGGCAUGGGUCCAAGGAUGCUGAAUCUCAGUGAAUGCAUGGAUCCAAAAAGGUUAGCAGAAUCAUCGGUGGAUCUUAAUUUGAAAUUGAUGUGCUGGCGGUUGGUGCCUACUCUGGAUUUGGAAAAAAUUGUGUCUGCUAAGUGUCUGCUGCUAGGAGCUGGUACACUGGGUUGUAGUGUUGCAAGGACCUUGAUGGGUUGGGGAGUCAGGAAGAUUACGUUUGUGGACAACGCCAAGAUCUCCUACUCCAACCCAGUACGACAGCCACUGUAUGAGUUUGAAGACUGUCUUAGCGGUGGGAAGCCAAAAGCACUCGCAGCAGCAGAAAGGCUGCAGAAAAUCUUCCCAGGAGUGAGUGCGGAAGGCUAUAAUAUGAGCAUCCCUAUGCCAGGCCACCCCGUGAAUUUCUCUGAAGUAACAAUGGCACAGGCUCGGAAGGAUGUAGCUAAACUUGAAGAGCUUAUUGAUGCUCAUGAUGUUGUUUUCCUACUAAUGGACACUAGAGAGAGUCGAUGGCUUCCUGCUGUCAUUGCAGCCAGCAAGAGAAAGUUGGUCAUCAAUGCUGCACUGGGAUUUGACACAUUUGUUGUUAUGAGACACGGACUAAAGAAACCAAAACAGCAAGAAUUUGAUGAUUCCUCUUUCAGCAGCAGCACUGGUUCUUCUGAUCUUUUGGGAUCAUCGCUUUUUUCCAAUAUCCCCGGCUAUAAAUUGGGUUGCUACUUCUGCAACGAUGUUGUGGCACCAGGGGAUUCCACCAGGGACCGGACAUUGGAUCAGCAGUGCACGGUCAGUCGGCCUGGAUUAGCCAUGGUAGCCGGAGCACUUGCGGUGGAGUUGAUGGUUUCUGUUCUACAACAUCCAGAAGGUGGUUAUGCUGUGGCCAGCAGUAGUGAUGACAGAAUGAAUGAACCGCCUACUUCUCUUGGACUUGUUCCCCAUCAGAUCCGUGGAUUUUUAUCAAGAUUUGAUAAUGUUCUUCCCGUCAGCCUGGCAUUUGAUAAGUGCACAGCCUGCUCAACCAAGGUCCUUGACCAAUAUGAACGAGAGGGGUUUCAUUUCCUAGCUAAAGUUUUUAAUUCUUCACAUUCCUUCUUAGAAGACUUGACAGGUCUAACUUUGUUACACCAGGAGACACAGGCUGCUGAGAUCUGGGACAUGAGUGAUGAUGAAACAGUCUGAAAAUGAGCUGAAUAAGGUGGACGAUGACCUACUUUGGACUGGAGCACUGCCUUUUAUCUGUUAUUUGACAAGUUAAUGAUUGCUUACCCGUUCUGACUGCUACAAAUACAAACAAAUAAUGCACGUUACUAUCUUCACCUUAAAAGCAGUCUGUUAUGGAAAUAACUGUCUACAUUUCCUUUUUUUAUAAUAUAAAAAACUAGAGCAAUGUGGUUAUAUUUAAACUUUAUCUUCCUUUUCCCCCUUUUUUUUUCUAGUUUCUAAAUAUGACUUACCUAUAAAAUAUGCUCCUUAAGUAAACUUUGGUGUUUCGUUUGUCCCAGAUUUCAUUUUGCUUGUCUAUGGACAUGUCCAAGUAGCGUGUCUAAAUGUCUUUUCAUCUCUCCCAGAUUUGUGCCCCUUUAGUUGGAAUGUAUUGUUGAGAUGGAGAAUAUUCUGCUCUUGGGACUUCUUUCAAGGAGAGCAGGAGGAGGAAAAAACUUACACCUACUGCCUAUGCGACGUUGCUCGGUGUUUCAGAGUUCAUGUUAUUUCUAGCACAAUUGAUUCCCUUUUCUUUGUUAUAGUGUGAUUGUUCUUUGGAGGUGUUAUUCUCUGUAGAGAUCUCAUAAUUUCACGCUAUGGAAAAAAAGCGGUUUGACUUGCAUUUACACAGGAAGGACCAAAGCGUGUUCAUACGGUCAUUAGAGUCCUCUGAAGUUCAGAGAAGGCUCUGUUACCGAGUAGAAGUUGCGGGGGGCGGGGAUCAUUGAUUCUGUCAAAAGUUGUAGGAGAAAUGCUUAACAGAAAUAAGAAAUGGGUUCUCUAGCUUUGCUGUUCUUGGAUGGUGCCGUGCAAUACUUCACAGCUGUUAAAAAAGAGCAGUUCUAAUUUUCAUGUUGGUUGGAUUGUAAGUUUUUCAAUUUUUGCGGCAUCGGGAAUGGCUUCCAGGAUUGUGGCUGAGCUCAAACAGUAGUUUGAGAACCCUCGAAUGUAAAGGAGAACUCAAGAAAAAAGUAUUUGUAAACUAUCAAAGUACAUUACUGCAAAAUUGAAAGUGAAUCUUUUGGGGUUUUAUCUUGGAAUAGAUUUUAAAAGUAUAUUUGAAAUCCCUUUUAUGGCUUUAUAUUGUGGGGAUUAUGGACUGACUUGCUCAGAAAAAAUGCAAAUUGCUUUAUCUGCCAAGCAGUCCUCAUUUCUCAUAUAUAUGAUGAAAAUUAGUUGGUCAAUCCAAUUAUUUUAGUUCCUUCCUUAACGUAAGCUCUGAAUAUUUGGUGUAGAUAAUUUCACGGCUUCUCUUUUAUGCUCCGCUAGAAGAAGUUCUGUCAGGUCUGAUUUGCCAAAAAUCAAGAAUAUCUGCAACUCCCAUACUCUGAUCGUACAAGAAGACCUACUGAAACACACUGAGGUUUGCAUCAGUGUCUAAAAUUGCUGUUGUUUCUAUUUCUUUUGACUGCCACGUUCGUUGUACUUAGGUGAUUUCUUAAGUAGCCUUAAGGGAAUGUCUUGUUUAGCCGACUUCAUUGUAAUAUAAAAAUGUAUAUGAAUUAAUAAUAUUUUUUGAAAGACUAGUAAUCAUAGGAAACUGAUCUUUGGGUGGUCAGGCAAUGAAUGAUAAGAUUGAUGAUAUGCUAUAUCCCUUUUAAAGCAAUUUUUUAAUGUACAUCAUUAGUUAUGACCUCACAUGACUUCCAUUUUGUUAGCCAUACCAUGGUCCAGCCGGAGUCGUGAGUCCGUACUGGGGUGAUUUAAAGGCAGUGAUCUGCAUUUUUAUCUUUUGGAGUUGUAGAAGUGUCUUGGCCAUUUGUGGUUAUCUACAACUUGAAAACUAAACAUCUUUCUGAAAUCUGAUAUGCAUUGAUAAUGAUUUUAAAUAUCCGAGACUCUGUUUAUCCUGUGAAAGGUACGGUGGAAGUAUCUUCCCAACUGCAGAAGCGUGCAAGAUCCAAAGGUUCAAAACUCAGGGUUAAUGUAACGUUUCCUUACCUCUGUAAUUUCAGUAACGUACAUCUCUCUCCGACUGAGCUGUUUCCUGUACAUAUGCUUCCCAGAUGUCUCUGAUGUUCAGAAACACUUCAGUUUGACUUGGAAUAACUUCCGUUGUCUAACUAUAAUGUUUUCUUUCUCCUUGCAGAAAAGAAUUGUUCUUCUUUCGCUUUUACUCAAUUUCUAGGCAUUUGCUGAGUGAGAAUUUAUGAGAAUCCAUUCAAAUGAAUGAAUGCACAUUCAAAUACUAUUAACAGGCAAACACGUUUAUUUACUGGCUUGUAUGCACUUAACGGCAGGAUUUCAGCGUGGUCCCCAGCUCCAUUUAUUGCUGUUUAGUAGAAGAAGCUAAACUUUACCUUUCUUCUUAAAGGAGGUAGGGCUUGAAUUUUAUUUGUGCUGCUGUGACCUCCUAGGUCUCAGUGAAGAGCCCAAACUCAUUCUCACAUUGUAGAGCCCAACAUGUACCAUGGCUUUUCAGGUAUAAAACAGACCUGUUGGAAAGAGGGACCGAACAGCCUCAGAGGAACCUACUCAUCUUCCUGAACUAUCUAACACACAGGGUAGAUAUGAAGGGGCGGAAGAAAAUGAGUUGUGCCAGAAGAGAGGUGCCUGGAAGAGAGCCGGGGCAGACAUCGACAAAGAGAUUGGCGUCCUGUUUGAGGCUUUAGGAGCAAUGGAUCAAGGACGCUCCAGUUUGGGAGCUUUCCAGUGUGAGAUUCCUGGGGCAGGUACGAGAGCCACUUGGAAGGAGAGACUGACAACUAAGUGACAAAAGGUUACCGUCACAAUAAAGACAACCUUCACAACAGAGGAUGACUAUAUUUUUAGCAGCUCUGAGUAGUGAGAAGAAGUGGUCAUCCUCCUUGAUUAGAUAUUUGUUCCAGCUUGCUAACUUCAGGUUGUUGGCACCACAGUGAGGUCGCUGGUGAGGCUGGCUGGCGCUUCCAGGCGUGCCAGGAGGGAGCAGGGGCUUUCGUCAGGCACCGAUGACGUGUUUGUGCCACAGAGGUGGCCUCUCCACAGCAGGCCUGGCUCUACCACGGGAAUUAGCCAUGGGCAGAGGGACACCGACCACUGCAGCAACUCUGUGUCCCGGUGGCAAGGUGGGAGGCCAAGGCCGUAUCCAUAACUGCUUGUGUGUCAGCAGCAUCCAGAGGGACGCUGUUGUGAGAUGGCAUUGUCCACUUCUAGCACCGGAGGAAGGAGCAGUGUGGGAGGAGCUUGUGCUGGGAAUGGUCUGGCGUUCCGGCAGGUCCCGCUGUGCCUCUUUUCAGGCGUUCUCCCUGGACUCACUCAAAGCGGGUGUUUCUGCAGAGCUGCCGCUCUUUGUUUCUCUUUGAGAAAUAACCGGGCAGUGACGGCAUCUCCCUGGGACAGUGGUUGGAUAGGAUUAAGCUCGAACGUGCUCAGGAAAUUCACUCCAGUGAAGCCCUUCAGGGAUAAAGCGUGCUUCGACACCCACGACGCGACACAGCUGUGUCGUAACUUUGCUAAGGGAAGAGAGCUGGCGGCCCCCUUCAGCCGCCGGGUGUACCGUACUUGCAUCUGCGCCCGUGCCAGAUGAGAUGGAAGCUUCUGUACAUCAGGAAGACACAGACCGGUUUCUUGUUUCGCUGUUCCUCAAGAAGGCUCUAAAGAUAGCGGUGAAUGUUUCCCUCAGCCAAGCGUAAGCGUGCCAGCUCUGGAGAGCGGAGCUCUUUGACACACAUGAUGUCUGAAAUACUGCUGUGUCUGCCCGGGGAUCCCAUUAAGCAGCACGAGGAACUGGCGCAGCGUUGGAACACUGGAGAGGGCUUCGUGCACACAGCUACUGUGGAUCGCCUCUCUCAUUCAGUCAGUGGUUAAUACCGCAUAAGCUGUGAGGUCUCCUAACUCUGCUUUUGUGCAAAGACUUCUGAGCAAGGCUGGAAGGCAAUUUUACAUCUUUUUGCAGCGGCCCGCGUUGGACCCCCAGGACCAGCCGGCUUCGUUCCCACCCCAGCAGCCCCCCGCACUGCUCUGGGGG